GAUGAACGCUGGCGGCGUGCCUAAUACAUGCAAGUCGAGCGAACGGACGAGAAGCUUGCUUCUCUGAUGUUAGCGGCGGACGGGUGAGUAACACGUGGAUAACCUACCUAUAAGACUGGGAUAACUUCGGGAAACCGGAGCUAAUACCGGAUGAUAUUUUGAACCGCAUGGUUCAAAAGUGAAAGACGGUCUUGCUGUCACUUAUAGAUGGAUCCGCGCUGCAUUAGCUAGUUGGUAAGGUAAUGGCUUACCAAGGCAACGAUGCAUAGCCGACCUGAGAGGGUGAUCGGCCACACUGGAACUGAGACACGGUCCAGACUCCUACGGGAGGCAGCAGUAGGGAAUCUUCCGCAAUGGGCGAGAGCCUGACGGAGCAACGCCGCGUGAGUGAUGAAGGUCUUCGGAUCGUAAAACUCUGUUAUUAGGGAAGAACAUAUGUGUAAGUAACUGUGCACAUCUUGACGGUACCUAAUCAGAAAGCCACGGCUAACUACGUG
rnacentral:rRNA from 1 species